CAGCCGCCGCGGUAAAACCAGCACCUCAAGUGGUCAGGAUGAUUAUUGGGCCUAAAGCAUCCGUAGCCGGCUCUGUAAGUUUUCGGUUAAAUCUGUACGCUUAACGUUCAGGCUGCCGGGAAUACUGCAGAGCUAGGGAGUGGGAGAGGUAGACGGUACUCGGUAGGAAGGGGUAAAAUCCUUUGAUCUAUUGAUGACCACCUGUGGCGAAGGCGGUCUACCAGAACACGUCCGACGGUGAGGGAUGAAAGCUGGGGGAGCAAACCGGAUUAGAUACCCGGGUAGUCCCAGCUGUAAACUAUGCAAACUCAGUGAUGCAUUGGCUUGUGGCCAAUGCAGUGCUGCAGGGAAGCCGUUAAGUUUGCCGCCUGGGAAGUACGUACGCAAGUAUGAAACUUAAAGGAAUUGGCGGGGGCGCAC
rnacentral:rRNA from 2 species